GAGCGUGAGGCGAGGCGAGGCGCGGCCGGGCCGGCGGCGGUGGGCGAGUUGGGUGGGACGCCCCCGGUUUCGGUUGACUUCGUCUUCGGGGAGCUCCCAGAGAGGCUGUGGGAGGGGAUGGCGGGGAAGCACGUGUCCUGCCGCAGUGGGGAGACAGCCCCGGGGUCACCCGUCCCCCUGCCUCGGCCCUGGGUCCCCUUCUCGGUCUCUCCAGCGCCAUUGGGUGGGGCCUGGGAGGGCCGCCGCUGGGCCCACCUUUCCUCAGCAAGCCGCGGAGGGGCAAGUGCUCAUCCCCUCGGAGGAACCGAGCCAGCCUGGAGGACAGGACGAGCCAGGGGCCGGAGGACGGUUCCGCCGAAGCCGCGCUGAUGAUGCGUGCUGUGAACCACCCUUGUGAAGUCCGAGAAAUAAGCUCGAUGCCCCUUCAUUGCCGGAUACUCUUUCCCUUCAUUUCUCCGCUGUUCCGGUGGUGGUAGGCCCCCAGCACCUGCGCUGCAAGGCCCUUAACUGCUAGCAAGCUGCUCGCUGCCCAAAGCUGGUGGGGGCGUAACUGCACUCGGGUAACUUCGCUUUCACCCCAGGGACACCCAGAUCUCUGCUGAGCUAUGGAACCCGACUAAUCCAUCACAUCCGGUAUUUAUUGAACACUUAGUCCAUCGGGCAGGGAGCACCACAGAACAAAAGUUAAAAAGAAAGUUAGGUCUCACACAGGUGGUUGGUGGCCGAGACACGGCAGUUUUCGGGGCUCCCUGUGCAGCGCCCGAUUUCAUGGGCUCCUUCGUGAAGUUCAUGUGGCGGCUUAAGCAGGAAAGGGGCACUGACAAUAUAAACGAGUCAACAAGAAGCACCAACAGUCGGAGUUCUUGAAGUGUAUGCUUUCCUUUCAGAUAUGGAGGCUCCUCCGAGGAAGGUGUCUUGUGGAGAGGUACCUGGCCAUCCCCUGAGUCUUACAGGUUCUCCAGAAGUCCUUUCAGAAUCUUCAUGCCCGCCAUCUCCCUCCUCGAACACAGAAGUACUCUUCCCGCCGAAAAGCUGUGAUGAAAGACACGAACCCCGGAGAGAGGCAAAUUGUCGUUUUUAGUUCUACUGUGUUCCGAAUCUGUGACCUUCCGGCAAGUGGAACUCACCUGCAAUGGUAGCUAUUCAAAUGUAGCUGUGUGGUGACUAAAUAAAACAAUACAUAUCACAGGGCUUUGACGUGCAAAGAAAAUCAGUAAUUGUUAACAUUUCUUCCCUCCGGUUGCCUUCAUGUAUUUAUGCUAAGAUAAACUUAGCAGAAAUUCUUCAGAAGUUGACCUCCAGGGUGUUUUCUUCCAUUGCCAGCUUAGAGGCAGCUCUACUCAUCCACCGUGUAAAAUAGCUUGUGAAAGCCACCCAGGAAGCCAACUGAUGGAACUGAUCCAUCUCCUAAGCCUCUGCUUCCAUAUCCCGGAGCCACCAGGGAGGAUGGUCUAGGCCAGGGCAAAGGCUCUUCAGUUUACAUGUAGGAAGGCUGUUUCUGGUUUUUGGUCCUUCCUGCUGACCCAUGCCAACCAUUUUAAUAUGAAAUGGCCUAUUAAAAGCUACCCUGGGCCUGGCAUGCAUGGCUCAGUGGUUGAGUGUUGAUCUAGGAGGUCGCGUUUCAAUUCCCUGACAAGGCACAUGCCAGGUUGCAGGCUCCAUCCCCAGUAGGGGGCGUGCAGGAGGCAGCUGAUCAAUGAUUCUCAUCAUUGAUGUUUCUCUCUCCCUCUCCCUUCCUCUGAAAUCAAUAAAAAUUUAUUUUUUUAAAAAAUAAAGCUACCCUGGAUCACACAAAUAUUUUUUCCUAUGUGACCAGGAUGUACAUUUGGUAUCCAUCUGGGUGAUGGGGGAUUCCUGAGCUGGCGGGAUUCCAGAAGAAUCUGCUAUGGGAGUUAGGGUAUAAUUCAAGGGUACAGUAAUUCAGUAGGAUGAUAUGCUUGAAGUUUAAGACCAUCUUCCCAAAGUGUCAGACUUUUGAGUCCCUAACUUCCAUUCUGGAAUCCUUUUAGGAUCUGUGAGAUUGAAUAAAUGGGAGGAGGUGCAAUCUGGCUACCAAUGCAUUUCCCAUAGGGUUUUGAAAUGGGAACAUGCCUACUGUCCCCUCUGCUAGAAAUGUGUCUAAACCAAAGUGGGUCAAGACAGAAACUUAAGGCAGACGGAGAAGGAUUGCCGUGGCAACAAUCAACUGGGAAAUCCACUAGGGUACUUCAAGACCUAUCAUCAGUAGAUUCCUAUUGCAUAAAUUAUAUUGAGUGAAUCUUAUUUUUAUGUGAAUAGACACUAAGUUUAACCCUUCAUCACUCAUGACACUGCAAAGUCAAUGAAAUUAAAAUCAAUUCAGAAUCAAUUUAAAAGUAGUUAAGUGUACUAGAAAGACAUACAAAAAAUGGUAAUGGUUGCUUCUGGAAUGAGAACUUGGAAGUCAUGAGUGGAAAACUUAAAGUUCAUUAUUAUUUCUUCUGUAGUUUGAAUUUUUAAAAAUACUUAUCCACAUGUUGAUUUUUCAAAAGAUACAACUCGUAGUCCAUCUCUCUUAUGAAAUCUGGAAAGCCUUUCCUGGAUGAUAUUAAUCUUUGAUUAAUCUUGGCCUGUUACUUUAGUCUUGAGAAGGUUUUUAGCUUUCUCAUGUGUGUAUGUUUUGUCUCCCCAUUUAGAUUGUACAUUCCUGAAGGAUAAGGAAAGCAUCUCAUUCUCAGUUGUCUUCCCACACCCUUACCAAAAGACUAAGUAACUGAAGUGAAAGACAGCAUUUGUAUAGCAUUCUGUGUGUGCUAUAGGUCCACAAGCAUUCCACACAGCUUUGCCCCAUCCUUCUCAGUACGGCCAUGGAGCAUCUCCUCACCAUCUGAUCUCUGUAUUUACUCAUCCUGGUGGAGCUAAGUUGCAGUGAGCAUUGCUACUUCUUAAGGAAACAUCCAGUUAUUUGCACCUGAAAGGACACUGAUUACAUGAAAUAACCUCAGUAAAAAUUGUAAACAACAAAUGUUGUGGGGUUACUUUUGUUGUAAAUAAUGAUAGAAAAAAUUCAAUAUCAGCUGGAUUUUUAUCUCAAUACAAUGAAAUUUUAUGUUUUAAAAGAAUUUGUAUUGAAGAUGUGUACACCUGCCUACACACACACACACACACACACAUUCCUUAUUCACAUGCUAGCUUUUGUUAAAAAUGAAAACUAACAUCUGAUGGAGACAAGAAUAAAGCAUAUACAAAAAAAAAAAAA